AUCAGGGAAAGGCAAUAACCAUGGUGCUCAGUCUGGUCCAUUACUUCUGAAACAAAAGCAAGACCUACAGUUGCCCUGUUGCCAUGGCAGUCACUAAAGGGAUAAGAAGGUAACUCGCACAGGGAGGAUGAUACCCCUGCCAGCUCCAGUGCCUGGAGAGGAUGAAGAGGAGGCUGUCUAAAGAUAAUCUCUUUCAUCCGUUCUCAAUUUAAAAGGCAGUCUUCUGUCUUCUUGGAACACCUGAGACAAGAGAAUGAUGAAUGGCAGCCUGGAGAUCAGCCUGGAGCCACACCUUGCCCUUUGAGUAGCCUCUCCCAUGACAAUCAACACUUUUCUAGAGCCUGGUAAGGUGUGAGAGUUUAGAAUGUCCAUAGGUUAGCUAUGGUAGAGACCUGGAAGACAGGCG
rnacentral:lncRNA from 1 species